ACGUGACAUUCACUGAGAGGCGCGGCUCCUUGACUUCCUCAUCUUACGGUCCGUCGCAGCGAGCAGCCCUUCCUCCGCUUUUAAAACCUUUCACCUGAUUAACUCGUUUUAUAAACACUUUAACGUCCAUUUGUCCCCUUACAUUUACACUUUUACAGCUUUAUACCGUAUGGACGCAUUUUAAUCCCGGAGUAGAUAAGGUCUCCAGUCUUCUAUGGAUGAGGAGAGAGAGGAUGGGGAUGGGGGUCCUACCUCGAAGACCACUCUGUCUGGGGAAAAUGGCCGCCGGAGCAAAGCUAAGAGUCCAAGACAUGCUGCCCACCAGCUUUCAAAGUCCAAUGCUGCCACUGGUGGAUUUGUAUCAAUUCACAUAAUGAUCCCAUCCUGCGAUGUUGUAGUUCAUCAAAACACCCUGAAACAACUUGAGUGUCACAUACUUAUGCCCAAUAGGCCACUAUCAGUGCAAGCAGGCCAAUGGCAACCAAGCACGCAGUCCUUCCUCCCUCACUUUAAAAGCUGCCACUGCUACACACACACACACACACACACACACACACACACACACACACACACACACACACACACACACACACACACACACACACACACACACACACACACACA